CACGUAGGGGGCAAGCGUUGUCCGGAAUUACUGGGCGUAAAGGGCGCGUAGGCGGACAGUUUAGUCAGAGGUGAAAGCCCAGGGCUCAACCUUGGAAUUGCCUUUGAUACUGAUUGUCUUGAGUACGGGAGAGGUGAGUGGAACUCCGAGUGUAGAGGUGAAAUUCGUAGAUAUUCGGAAGAACACCAGUGGCGAAGGCGACUCACUGGCCCGUUACUGACGCUGAGGCGCGAAAGCGUGGGGAGCAAACAGG
rnacentral:rRNA from 1 species